GAUGAACGCUAGCGGCGGGCUUAAUACAUGCAAGUCGAGGGGUGGUAGCAAUACUACACCGGCGCACGGGUGCGUAACGCGUAUGCAAUCUACCUUUAUCUGGGGGAUAGCCCGGGGAAACCCGGAUUAAUACCGCAUAACAAAUUUCUUGGCAUCAAGAGCUUUUAAAAGAUUUAUCGGAUAGAGAUUGGCAUGCGUAAGAUUAGGUAGUUGGCGAGGUAACGGCUCACCAAGUCUACGAUCUUUAGGGGCUCUGAGAGGAGAAUCCCCCACACUGGCACUGAGAUACGGGCCAGACUCCUACGGGAGGCAGCAGUAGGGAAUAUUGGGCAAUGGGCGCAAGCCUGACCCAGCCACGCCGCGUGCAGGAAGAAGGCCCUCUGGGUUGUAAACUGCUUUUGACUGGGAAGAAAAGACUCCUUGCGAGGAGAGUUGACGGUACCAGCAGAAUAAGCCACGGCUAACUACGUGCCAGCAGCCGCGGUAAUAC
rnacentral:rRNA from 1 species